AAAAAGCUACCAAAAGAGAGGGAAAGAAAGACGAGAAAAAAAAGCUACCAAAAGGGAGGGAAAAGAAAGACGGGGGAAAAAUUGUCGAUCGCAGAAUGAAAAAAAUAAAAUGACCUUAAAAAAUAAUUAUAAUCAUCUUUUGUCUACAAUCCCUAAUUUGCCUUGGAAACUUAAAGUCACCCAAAACUCUCAGUCUUCUUCUCUCCUUUGAGUCUCCUCUCUAUUAGAUUUUUGAAACCUAAUAUCCUUAUCCCUUAUAAUUUCUUUAGAAAUCAUUUUACCUGUUCAUCCCCCUUAACUUGCUGAGCAAUUGCAACCCAGAUGGCUUGUGUUUGAUAGAAUAAAUUGAUGGGUCUGGAUUUCCCCAAAUAUGGCUUGAAUGCAAUGGAGGUAAUUUCUAGGUUUUGCUUUUACGUUUGUUAAUUUUUGUUAUUGAUACUCAGGAUGAUGGGAAGUUGCUUAGAGAAAAUGGUGUGAGUUUGAAAAGAGUGACGAAGAGGUUGCAAAUUUUUUGAAUGAGAAUAGUAAGUCCAUUAGAUUGACAAUAUUUCG
rnacentral:lncRNA from 1 species